CUAAGGAUGGUUCUUCAGAAGCUUGCUUCUAUCGAACCGUUUUAGAAACAUCAGUGGCCAACGGUCGUCAGGAUCGUUGAGCUGCAUUGGCGGGAUUUCGCCGUCUUCGUUUCUCUUUCUUCGCGGACGAACACGCGCUGGGGCUGCAACCUUGCAGAAUCCCUGGUCCUUGACUGGAUAUGCGUUAGGGGCUUGUAGCUCAGUUGGUUAGAGCGCGCGCUUGAUAAGCGUGAGGUCGGAAGUUCAAGUCUUCCCAGGCCCACCACACUCAUCGAGUGAGCAUUCGUCUUCUGGUUACGGGGCCAUAGCUCAGCUGGGAGAGCGCGUGCUUUGCAAGCAUGAGGUCGUCGGUUCGAUCCCGUCUGGCUCCACCAGAUGGUUUGAUCACCGACUACUCAUACCGUCGUCCGCGAAACAUCACUUCGCACUUACUAGUCCGGAUGGACAGUAAGCUGCGUGAUUUCUGACAUCGUAAAGAGGAGAUCGAUCCGAGUUGGAUCGGGCAACAAGUAAUUGUUGCGCGAUACUCCAUUAUCUCCGGAUCAUUUCGGCGCUCGUGCGUCUUUUGGCGUAGCUCACAAGGCUGCAUUGAAAGACAAGCGAGUUGUAAAUGAUCCUUUUAGCGAAGCUUGACCGCCUCGCUAUCGGAACGAUCUUACGAAGCAAGCUGGUCUUUCUAAUCAUUGUCCGGCUGCAGAUAGCGUUCAUCGAGGGCGCGUACCGCAAGGUAGUUCUGCAGACAACAUUCUGCCGAGUGUGUGGACAUUGAUAAUGAGAGC
rnacentral:tRNA from 2 species